rnacentral:lncRNA from 11 species
ACGUCAACCAACGGAAAGCAGCUCUUAUAAGAAAUGAUUUAAGAGAUCUGCCAUUCCACUCAGCUGCUUUGACUGAGCACAAGAUGCCCAGCUGCAAACAGCUUUGAUUAUUUAAUGGAGAACGGCAAUGAGCGAGGAAUUAGGAGUCUGGCAAAUGGAGAGGGACAGAUUGAAGCUGGCGGAGAUGGAGACUUGAACAUCACAGAGGCAAAGAAAUGGCAACGGAGGAACCGCAGCCCAGCUAACAAAACAGGUGCUGGAAACCCUAUCAAGAUACAGAUGCUACCUUUGAUGAAAUUGACCUGAAACAAGCAGAAAUGUCUCCAGUUUCUCUAAUUAGACUUUGUUGAAUGCCUCGUGUCUUAUAUAUAUGUACCGACUAUCUUAAGAACUUCCAAGGAUGGUAAGGUUGCCCAUCUGUCUAUGAAAACAGGCUAACGAAUACGUUAGAUCCAAUGGCAAGAACCAAUAAAUAUAAAUAUUGUAAAUAAAUAAAUAAUAGAAUUA